AGUUUAUAGUUUUUAAUUUUAAAUGAAUCCUGCCCAGUGAAAAUAUUAAAUGGCCGCAGUACCUUGACUGUGCUAAGGUAGCAUAAUCAAUUGGCUUUUAAAUGGAGUCUGGAAUGAAAGGAGUAAUGAAAUAUGUCUGUCUUAAAAUUAUUAUUAUUAACUUAUUGAACAGGUGAAAAUACCUGCCUGUAGAAAAAAGACRAGAAGACCCUUAGAGUUUUUAAAUAUUAAAAAUAAAUUUAAGUUUUUUGCUGGGGCGACAUAUAAACAAACAAACUUUAUUAAUUUAUAUACAACGAUUAUUAUACAAAUAAAUAAACUACCUGAGGGAUAACAGCAUUAUUAUUUAAAUUGAUUGUGACCUCGAUGUUGGACUAGGAACUUUAUGGCUAACCGUCAAAAAAGAUUUGUUCUGUUCGAACAAUUAAAUCCU
rnacentral:rRNA from 1 species